UCAAAGAGAAGAAAAACAUCUCAUCCCUCCCCCCAAGCGAGGGAUUAACUUAAAUUACUCCUUA
rnacentral:tRNA from 1 species